AGUUUACAAUUCCAAACGUUCAUUUUGUCAUUAAUUGGAAUAAUUCAGUGAGAUUUUGUAUGCACAAGGAGUCUUACAACAAUUAGUGUGCUCCACACUGAUCCCACAGACAUUGUCAAGUCCAUUAGGAAUGACAUGAAGAAACAGAAGAAACUAAGACACAUCCAGAAGAACUGUGGCAAACAUUUCCAAGACACAUUAAGAAAAUUACCUGCAAAGCUGCAGUACUGUUAAAAGUUUUAGACACUUGUGUAAAGUUCAAGUUCUACUGGAUUUAGUAUAUCUCAGUUUUUUCUGUUUCUUCAUAUCAUUCCAGACAAACUGGAUGAUAAUGAGAUCAGACUCCUUGUGCAAACAAAAAUCUCACUGGAUUAUUCCAAUUAAAAGCAAAAGGAAUGUUUUGAAAUGUAAACUGAUAUUUCCCACUGACACACUACAGCAAAAGAUAGAAAUAACUGGCUUAAAACCUUUUUUGUUGUUGGUGGUGGUGAAAAUAAUAAUGGCCUAAGACUUUUGCACAGUAGUGUAAUUCAUACACUGCACGGAUGAGUACAUAGGCUAGUAUAUAGUGCGUCAUUUGGGAUCAUGCAAUGAUUGCCAAGGCAUUCUGGGUGGCUAAUCUCCAAUAGCAUAGUAAAUGAGACGCAAAUAAGAUUUGUUUUUUCUUAUCAAAACAUUUGUUUUACACAAUAGUUACUUGUGUAAUUUCUGUAUGGGGAGCAACACUUUUGUUAAUUGGCCAAACAGGUUAUCGACCAAUGCCAGUAAUCUCAAAAUGGAAAAAAUAUCAGUUGAUUAAUCUGUCUUUCACUAUAUGCUGCAGUCGUUAUGCUUAAUUCUGACAUUUUUUAUGUGCCAAAACACUUAAAGCUAUUAUGUAGUAUGGGGUUUCAAUGUUUAUGAUAAUGUUUAUUUUAGCUAAAGAGACGUAGAGAUCUGGAAAGACAAAAAGAUGUCCUGUGGGCUGGACUGCAGGUUGUGGAACAAACACAGCUGUGGUACCAGAAUCGCCUGAAGCUAAAUUUACAAAGGCAAGUUAGCUUCAGCACAGGAGACUUGGAUGGAGAGGUAUGUGUCUUCACAGAUCACACCUGAGUAAUGCUGCUGUCACAUAAAAGCAAGAGUAUACAGUACAACUGAAGUAUAAGGAGGCCUGUUCCUGGAGACUUCAAUUCAAUACCUGCACAUUUUAACUUAAUUCAAUUUUAACAUUUUAACUUAAUUCAUAACAUUUCAUCUUUCAAUGAGCUGAUGAUCUAAAUCAGGGUUGUUAAUUAAAUAAGGUACACAUACAAAAUGAACACUGCUGUAGAUGCCUAAACCAGAAAUGAAAACCACUGGCCUACAAUCAAUGUUAAAACAGGCGAGCAGAUUCCUCCAAAAAGAAAACCAGUGUAACUGAUAUGUACUAUGAAAUAAGGAUUUUUUUUUUUUGUGCAAUUUUGCCUGAGAAACUUUAUUUAUACUAACAUUGGUUAUCAAUGAAGAAAAAUUUAUUUUGCCAAAAUAAUGGUGUCAUUAUGACAUCGAUCAGAGAGGGCUAAUCCUUCAUCUGUUUGUCUGAAGAUCAUCCCAACUUGGUAGCACAAGUAUCAAAAUUAUUUCUGAAAUUCCUUGUUGUACUCAAGUAAAACCAAGUUAUAUAUGAGCCAAAAAUUGUAAAAUUCAUUUACUCACCAUCAAGUUGUUCCAAACCUGUAUACAUUUCUUUCUUCUGCUGAACACAAAAGAAGAUAAUUUGACGAAUGCUGGUAACCAAACAAUUGCUGAUAGUCGAUGCCUAAUAACAUUCUUCAAAAUAUCUUCUUUGUGUUCACCAAAAGAAAAAAACUUGGAACAACUUGAGGGUAACUUGAGUAGCCUAAAUGAUAACAGAAUUUUAGUUUUUGGGUCAGCUGUCCAGUUAAAUGCCAAACGGAUAAAUGCCAAAAAAGGAUAGAUCACCCAAAAAUGAAAAUUCUGUCAUUUAUUACUCACCCUCAUGAGACCUUCUGUGUUCAUCUUUGGUAUACAAAUUAAGAUAUUUUUGAUGAAAUCAGAGAGCUUUAUGACCCUGCAUAGACAGCGAUAGAACUGAAGGCCCAGAAACGUAGUAAGGACAUUGAUAAUAUGAAGCUACAAGAAUAUUUUUGUGCAAAAAGAAAACAAAAAUAAUGACUAGUCAAUAGUUUUUUCUCUUCUGUGUCACUCUCCGUCGAGUGUUCAGAAUACAUGCAUGUGCUUUCCUCUGAUUGAAAACAAGGCACACCACAUCCUGGUUCUACGUAAGAACACUGUCUCCUGCAUCAGCAGAACCACGCGCAUGCGUCAGGGUAUUCUCAUAGCUUCAUAACAUUACGGUUGAACCUCUGAUAUAACAUGGACUAUUUUAAUGAUGUCCUUACUACCUUUCUAAGCCUUGAACAUUACAAAGUUUAACGAAGGUCUUAGGUUUGGAAUGACAUGAGGGGCAGGUGGUCCUGUGCUAUGCGGUCUUGUAUGCAGCGUGUGAAUGGCAGUCUGGGUAAUCUGAUGAGUGACUCCUGUGUCUGGAACAAUCUAGCCCCAGAGGAGAGUGGAGGAUCAGACUGGCACCUACGGUGGAGCAAUGCCACGUUGGUCAAGAAAGUGAAUCAGCAGAAUCAACAGAUUUCCAUGUUGGAGCUUGAGAAGGCACAACUUCAGCAGCUGGUGUCUUACAGCACACCUGAAUGAUGACAACCACACAUUUUCAACAUUAAUUACAAAAUGGUUUCAUUAAAAUCUUGCAGUGAACUGUAAAUAGUUAAAAAUGCUUUGAAAAGAAUGAAUGUUAAAAUUAAUUUAAGCUCUGGUAUACACCCAAUCCACCCUGUCUUCCAUUAUUUAACUGGAAGAGAAUUAAAGAUUUAAUAGUUGUUUAAAAUCAUGUUUAAAUUCAAUCAAUUAAAAUAUUUAUCUAAAUUGUUAGUAGUGAUUCAAAUACCUACAUUUAUACAAAACAGGUUUUAAAGUAUAAUUCAAGUAUAAUUGAACAAUGAAGAUUCUAUAUUAUGGCUAAAAUUAGUAUCGCAAAAUCACUUAUAUUAGUUUUGAUUUAUGUAUAAACAUACUGUAUAAAGAGGGGUAAAUAUUUAUAUUGCUUGUCAUUAUAUUAUUAUGUAUUUGAAAAAUAUAAAUAUAAAAUCACAAUCAGAUUUAGUUUCAGUUUUUUUUAUGGACUAUUCAUUUGUAUUCCUUGUUUUCAUGUGUUUCCUUCCUUUUUCUAGUGUUCGGAACGCUACUAUGUUUUCAACUGUUACAGUUGUUAUUGAUUACAUUGUGCACCUGUUUUUCGUUAAGUUCCUCAUUAUCUUGUGUAUAUAUGUCCUUCAUUUAGUCUUUGUUUGGCGUUGUCUUUACAUAUGUAAAAUUGUUCUGAAUCCAUAAGUGUUUCUGCUAGGAUGUCCUCUGGAUGGACAGACCCUGGAUUGUGAAUGUCUGAUCACAUAAAAAUAAGCAAUAUGAAGUAACAGUCCAUGAAAACAAAACUGAAACUUACUCUGAUUGUGACCAUUUCAGUGCAGUUGGUUGAAUUUUUAAUUUUAAUGUUUAUAUUUUCCAAAUACACAAUAUUAUGACAAACAAUAUAAACAUUUACUCCCUCAUGUUCUCAAAACACUGCUAACAAUAUAAUAUCUGUUCAGUUGGCGGUCUUUACAAGAUCAUGACUGUAUUAAAUCUAAACUAAUACAAGUGAUUUUGCAAUAGCCAGAGCCUAUGCCCUCCAUGGACCCUCCACUGAUGGAGAAGGUUGUCCCAGAGCUAGAGCAUGUAGCCCUAUUUAUUUUGAACUGUGUCCAUCCUGGAGGAAAUGUUGUUUAAGUUAGACUUCCUGGAGUGGAGUCCCACUCAUGCUCCCACCUCUGAGGAGUGUUUGCCUUUGCCGGUCCUGUCAGGAUUAAUUUACUUGCACAGUCCAUAACUGUUCCCAAGCGCUCCCCUUACCAAAAAGUAGUAUACUUCAAGUUUAUUUUAUUAAGUAUACUUAAGUAAAGUUCAAGUAUAUUUUGACUUUUUGUAAGUAUAAGUCAAGUAUACUUAAUUGUAAAAGUAUAUAUCUUAGAAGUACAUAAAGCCCAUUUCUGAGAAGUACAUAAAAAGUAAACUAAAAGUAUACUUUCCUAUUUUUAGUUUAAAAUAAGUAUACUAAUAGCACACUUGAAUAAACUUCUUUUUCGUAAGGGUCCUCCUCCACUGGUUUCCUCCAGUACAUACUCUUCCUUCUCUUCUGGUCCACCCAGCUUCCAAGCUCCUCCUCCUUUGCCUCUGGUCCCACCUAGCCUCCAAUCUUCUUCACUGCUGUCUCCACCUGACUCCUGGCUCUGCCUCCUCUGCCUACUACACUGGUUUCACCUGGCUUCCUGCUUCUUCUGCUGGCUCCAUCCGGUUCUCUGGCUCUGCCCCCUUCACUAGCUCUGCCCAUUGGGCUGAGUCGCCAGUUCACCUUAGCCUUCCAGCACCACCAGAAUAACCACAGUCUUCUGGCUUGGAGCUUGUACAGUAAUCAAAGCAUGGUCAAAAGACCCAGAGCCUUGUGACUAUUUGGUUCGGCUAGCUUUCAUAGACUUUUAGUUUGUAUUCCUUGUUUUAAUGUGUUUCCUAUCCCUUUCAUGUUCUGUUCACCAGUAUCCAUAGUUACUGAUUGUUGUACACCUGUUUCUUGUUGAGUUCCUCAUUAUCCUGUGUAUAUAUAUGCCCUUUAGUGUCCUCACUUCUUGUUUUAACCAUUGUUAAGCAGAUAUGUUUCUUCCUCAUUUUUGUUGUUUUUGUUAAUAAACUGCUAAGAGCUG